rnacentral:lncRNA from 1 species
UUGAAUGUUUUAAGAUAUCUUGUGAAGGAGGAAACAAAAGCAAACAAAAACCUCCUCCUAAUAUCUCUUUGUUUCAGAUGUGUGUCAAUGGAGAAAUGGCUCUUCUGUAGAUACAGUUACAUGAAGAGUUCCGCUGAUUGUCUUGUCAUAUUACUCACCACCUUUCAUCUCUUGGACUUUUUCUGUGCUGUGGAAUAAGCUGCUUCUGGGUCUCCAGUCCUUUGUACCCUCUUUCCUUGGUCCAGAGCCUUCUCCACAGCAGAGCAGACGCAGAACCUCACUUCCUUAAAAACCACAUUCAGUGACUUCCAGGACAGCAAUCCCUGCCCUCCCACCUUUCAGCCCUUCUUUUCCUAGAGUCUUUAGUGUAUAAAGUCACCUCCUCAAACCUGAAGAGAAAUAGAAGGGCUGUGAAUAACAGGAUCCCAUUUGGAAGGUACCCGGGGAAUAGGGACUGUGCCCUCUUCUAAUUUCAUUUGUUCCGUGUGUGUCAGGAACACUGUUGUCCAUGUUUGCGUCCUUUUUUACCAAACUGGUGUAUCAGAUUGUUACAUAUUUUUCCAUACUACCUAAGUGUUUCUGGAAUUCCUAUGCAAGAGAACUACCUUAUGAUCUAGCAAUCCCACUCCUGGGUGCAUAUCCAGAGAAAACCAUAAUUUGAAAAGCUGCAUGCACCCCAGUGUCCACUGCAACAAUGUUUACAAUAGCAAGGGCAUGGGCACAAUCUAAAUGUCCAUUAUUGACAGAGGACAGGUUAGAGAACAUGUGGUAUGUAUAUACAAUGGAAUAUUACUGAGCCAUAAAAAGUAACAUUUGCAGCAACAAGGAUGGAGUUAGAGAUUAUCACAAUAAAUGAAGUCAGUCAGAGAAGAAUGAAUAUCAUAUGAUGUCACUUAUAUGUGGAAUCUAAUAAAAAUGAUACAGAAGAACUUAUUUACAAAACAGAAACUCACAUAUUUCAAAAUCAAACUUAUGGUCACCAAAGGGGAAACCUCAUGGGGGGAGGGAUAAAUUAGGAGGUUGGGAUUAACACAUACACAUUGCUGUAUAUAAAAUAGAGAACAAGAGCCUAUUAUAUGGCACAGGGUUCUAUCUUCAAUAUUCUGUAAUAACCUACACGGGAAAAAUAUGGAUAUAUGCGUAUGUAUAACUGAAUCACUUUGCUGUACACUUGAAACUAAUACAACAUUGUAAGUCAACUAAGCUCCAAUAAGAUUUAUAAAAAAAUCUAUUUAAUUUUCUUUUUAUUUACUCCCUAUUUUCCUUUCCACAGACUUUAAACAACCAGGUCCAUUAUAUGUCCAUGAGACAAUGAUCCAUAGCCAAGUUUAACCUCACUAGAAGUUUAUAGUUGAAGACGACAAUGUCAUCUGAUCUUCUCAGAAGCCGACUAAUGACAAAUCUUAACUGAUGCAUGUUUUGCUUAAUAUAGUCUGUAUUCACAUUGUGAGAUAUUGGCUAUUUCUAAGUUACAAUAAAGAAGUUGAUUUCUGGAGUUCCCGUCAUGGCUCAGUGGUUCACGAAUCCAGCUAGUAUCCAUGAGGACACAGCUUCAAUCCCUGGCGGGCUGUGGUGUAGGUCGCAGAAGAGGCUCAGAUCCCACGUUGCUUUGGCUGUGGUGUAGGCUGGCAGCUGAAGCUCUAAUUUGACCCCUAGCCUGGGAAUCUCCAUAUGCCACGGGUGCAGCCCUAAAGAGACCAAAAAAAAGUCAGUUUCACAUUAUUACAUAUUGAAGGUGAGGGUACACCUGUCUCAGUAAAUCUCUUUGCUAGUUAUUAAUACAUUCAAUUAUUUUUUCUAAUUAGGAGAAUUGAAUUGCUAUUGUACAUAGUAUUUAAUUACUUAAGUGUGAUGUUCACUGUGGGUUUGGCGAUGCUGUUUAUUGACCACGGGAAGGUCUCCUUUAUUCUGAGCUUGCUGAAAUUUUUGUGUGUAUUGGUUUUGCCAAGUUCUUCUACUGCCUCAAUUGAUAUGAUUAUAUCAAUUAUAUAUAUAUAUAUGUACACACGCGCACACACAUUUUUUCCCCUUUCGCCUGUUGAUGCUCUGGAUAUAUUCCUAGGAUAGACCAUAGACUCACUUGAUCAUGACACUUUCUCUUUUAUGCAUUCCUGGACUCAAGCUAAACAUAUUUUGUUGAGGAUUUUGUGCCUAAAUUCAUGAAAAAUACUGGUUUGCAGUUUUCUUCUCGCUUAUUCAGAUUCUUUCACUUUGGCUGAAUUUUGACAGUUUCUGUUCUUUUCCUGAGAAAUGUGUCCAUUUUUUAAGUUGUCAGCCUAUGACCAUCUAGGCAGUUACAAUGCUUCCUCCUCAUGCUUUUAGUGGUCGCAGCAUCUGUAGGGAUGUCCCAUCUUGUCCCAAUAUUGCUGACUACGCUCUUCUCUCAGGUCAUCUUUGUUGAUAUUUUUCAUCUAUCUUGCUGAUUUUUUUGAAAAAAGGGAUUUUUGUAUCAUUGAGAUUCUCAAUGGUUUCCCUGUUUUCUAUCCCAUUUAUUUCUGUUUUUAUCUUUAUAAUGUUCCUCUUUGUGUUUGCUUUUCAUUUACUUUGUCCCUCUUUUAAUUUUUUUUUCGGGGGUUAAGAACUUGGAUUAUUGAUUUGUAAACAUUUCAUGGUAGCAUUCUUUCUCUGCACUGCUUUAGCUGUAUUUCACAUGUUUUAAUGUUUUAUUUUCAUGCCACCUAAUUUUUUUUGAGAGACUUCUGUAACUCAUGGAUAUUGAGAAAUGCAUUGUUUAAUCCCCAGUUAUCUGGAGGGUGUCCUGUUCUGUUUCUGUCAUUGAUUUCCCAUACGUUGCCUGUAAGGUCAGAGGACACACCUUGCAUGAUUUUAAUUAUUCAAACUUCUUAAAUUUUAAAUUUUCUCCGGGAGUUCCUGCUGUGGCUCAGCAGAAAUUAAUCUGACUAGUACGUGUGAGGACACAGGUUCGAUCCCUGGCCUUAUUCAGUGGGUUAAGGAUCCAGCAUUGCCGCGAGCUGCAGUGUAGGUCACAGAUGCGGCUCAGAUCCCAUGUUGCUGUGGCUGGGGUGUAGGCCGGUAGCUGUAGCUCCGAUUUGACCCCUAGCCUGGGAACCUCCAUAUGCCUUGGGUGUGGCCCUAGAAAGACAAAAAAAUAAAAUAAAAUAAGAGUUUCUCUAAAAUGUUAUGGUGACUGUUCCAUGGACCAAAUCCCUGUAAUAGGCCCCUGGGAAACUCCUCUGACAUGAAGGGAGAUCUUUGUUAUUCUGGGCAGGACUCGAACCUGCCUUCAGUAGAGAGAUGUUCUAUUCCAAGACUGUUUGCCCCAGUGAACAUACCUGAACAGGAAAUCUGAACAAAGCCUCUAGGUGCCUCUGCUCCGGAGACACACAGAAACUGAGGCCCAGGAAGAGCUGAGUCUUUACUGACAUCAUCCCUCAAAUUCCAUCUUAAUUCUUAAGAAAUUCCAACAACUUAAAAUUGUUUUACCAAUAUCUUCAUCUUAAUAAUUUUGAACUCUGUUCCUAUCCAUUCACAUUUACCUCUAUGCAUGUCAGCAAAACUAUGCAGUUUUCCUAUAAAACCUCAGCAGAUUCCUUGUUAAAUAGUAUUAAAUAUUUCUUAUUGCUAGGGUUGUGUGAAGUCUCCCAUUACAAUACUUCUAAUUAGUGUUUGCUGCUAUACAUAAAAUUUAGUAAUUUGAUGGUUUAUUGUGUCAUUCAACACUAACCUUUACUCUGAACUUUUAUUUCCUCUCCUUUAAUAAUUUUCAGGUCAUUGUUAAUUAUUUCUGGGAUGUUAUCUAAUCAUCAAAUGGGAUAGCUUUGCAUCUUAAUUGCCAAAAUAGAGAUUAUUUGUAUUGGUCUACUGGUUAUAACUUUUAGAUCAAAGUCAGUUAGUGCCACAGUGGAAAACUGUCUUUUCCUGACUUCAGUGGGAAUGGAUUUGGUGUUUCAACACAAAUGUGAUGCUGGCUACAGACUUCAGGUUGAUAAUCACUCUGCGAGGACCUGGAGGGCCUGGGGGUGGAUGGGGGAAGGGUGAAUCUGCUGCCUGAAUCAGCCAUGCCAGGGUUCUGCCCUGAAGGCAGAGCUCCCCCUCAGCUUCUGCUUCCUUUCAGCUGGUCUCCUCUCUUAGAGGACAGAGUUAGGAAGGAUUGGAGUGAGGAAGGGGUUUUCACAAACUCUGGGUCCCCUGACCUCUGAUUGCUGUGGUUUCCAGCCCUGCUGAGCACCCCUCAUCCUGAGACAGGGCAUCUUAGUGGUCUGGGAGCCGAGGCAGCAAUCUGGGUGAGGGGGCAGCAGGGUGUGAGGGGUACGGGGGACUGUCUCUGGCCGAUUCUUAAGCGAGAAGCACUAGGUCUAAUCCAGCCAGAACCUGCAAGGGGCUUAAUCUUUGUGGAACUUGGAUCCAAAAUGUGACUGAAAGGAGCCAACAACUUGGUUUUGAAUUUUGGACCCUGUGUCUGGAAUCAGUGGAACCAUCUCAAGCCCUGCUGUCGUCUCUCACAGCGCUGUCUGGCUGGCCUCCUGCAGUUCCCGUGCCCAGACUGGGCGUGGAGGGCAGCUCUGUGUUGAGAAGCGAGCGUGUUCUCCAGCAGGAGAUUUGCAGUGAUAACUCUCAGACAAAAAAAGAGAAGGUGGGUGCUUGCGUCCCACCCACACCUGCCAGGAUGAGGCUCUGGCAGGUGUCACCUCCCUGGGGAGACAUUUCUCCGGGCAUCAGUGGGGGUGGGGGUGGGAGUGAAGCCCCAUGUUAUCGAAUCAGGUCAGGGAGCUCCCUGCUCCGUGAGUGAGAGAGAGAGGCUGGUGGAAAGGAAAGUUGCUUUUAAUUAGAAUCUGCCUGCAACCUGGAAAGAUGGACUCAGUGUCCCCCCAGAUAUGCCUGCAACCUGGAAAGAUGGACUCAGUGUCCCCUCAAAACCAUCUCCGGAAAUUCUAAGGACAUGCAAGUGUUUAAAGGGAUAACGGGAAGUGAUCUCAGCGAAUCACUGAGAUGGGGUCAGAGCCGUUGCCAGCCCCCACUGUGCACAGGCUUGUGGGCUCUGUAAUCUAUACUCCAGGGCUGUCUUGUUUAAGCAGUUUGUUUGUGUGUUGACUGGAGGGGAAGCUGGGGAAGAAAUCUGAUCAUCUGUUAACUAUUCUUUAUUUCUACUUCUGAAAGAACCAAUAAGUUAGGCCAAGUGUUUUGUGAUCAAAAGAUUUGACAGGUGCUGGGGCUGAAGAGCGAAGCCUGGGGGUGCCUGGUUUAAGGUUAGUAACCAGACGAAGGGGGCUCCUGCAGAGAGCUCCUUCCUGCCCCAAGCUGCUCACACAUCCACUGCCUUCCCGUUAUGACGGCUCCUUCCUUUUCAUAAUGAGAAAAAUCUGUCGCUGGAAAGGAGACGCCAGCUCCUGACAUGGGCACAGCACCGUGUUAGCGGAAAGGUGGCC